UGAGACCUGAUGCCGAGCCGAUUGUGGUGAAGUGGAUGAUCCUAUGCUGUCGAGAAAAGCCUCUAGCGAGUUUCAUGGCGGCCCGUACCCUAAACCGACUCAGGUGGUCAGGUAGAGAAUACCGAGGCGUUCGGGUGAACUAUGGUUAAGGAACUCGGCAAAAUGCCCCCGUAACUUCGGGAGAAGGGGGGCCACGUCUGGUGAUCGGAUUUACUCCGUGAGCUGGGGGUGGCCGCAGAGACCAGCGAGAAGCGACUGUUUACUAAAAACACAGGUCCGUGCGAAGCCGUAAGGCGAUGUAUACGGACUGACGCCUGCCCGGUGCUGGAACGUUAAGGGGACCGGUUAGCUCACUUUCGGGUGGGCGAAGCUGAGAACUUAAGCGCCAGUAAACGGCGGUGGUAACUAUAACCAUCCUAAGGUAGCGAAAUUCCUUGUCGGGUAAGUUCCGACCUGCACGAAUGGCGUAACGACUUCUCGACUGUCUCAACCAUAGGCCCGGUGAAAUUGCACUACGAGUAAAGAUGCUCGUUUCGCGCAGCAGGACGGAAAGACCCCGGGACCUUUACUACAGUUUGAUAUUGGUGUUCGGUUCGGCUUGUGUAGGAUAGCUGGGAGACUGUGAAGCUCGCACGCCAGUGUGGGUGGAGUCGUCGUUGAAAUACCAGUCUGGUCGUGCUGGAUGUCUAACCUGGGUCCGUGAUCCGGAUCAGGGACAGUGUCUGAUGGGUAGUUUAACUGGGGCGGUUGCCUCCUAAAGGGUAACGGAGGCGCCCAAAGGUUCCCUCAGCCUGGUUGGCAAUCAGGUGUUGAGUGUAAGUGCACAAGGGAGCUUGACUGUGAGACCGACGGGUCGAGCAGGGACGAAAGUCGGGACUAGUGAUCCGGCGGUGGCUUGUGGAAGCGCCGUCGCUCAACGGAUAAAAGGUACCCCGGGGAUAACAGGCUGAUCUUCCCCAAGAGUCCAUAUCGACGGGAUGGUUUGGCACCUCGAUGUCGGCUCGUCGCAUCCUGGGGCUGGAGUCGGUCCCAAGGGUUGGGCUGUUCGCCCAUUAAAGCGGUACGCGAGCUGGGUUUAGAACGUCGUGAGACAGUUCGGUCCCUAUCCGCUGUGCGCGUAGGAGUCUUGAGAAGGGCUGUCCCUAGUACGAGAGGACCGGGACGGACGAACCUCUGGUGUGCCAGUUGUUCUGCCAAGGGCAUGGCUGGUUGGCUACGUUCGGGAGGGAUAACCGCUGAAAGCAUCUAAGCGGGAAGCCUGCUUCGAGAUGAGGACUCCCACCCACUUGAUGGGGUAAGGCUCCCAGUAGACGACUGGGUUGAUAGGCCGGAUCUGGAAGCACGGUAACGUGUGGAGGUGACCGGUACUAAUAGGCCGAGGGCUUGUCC
rnacentral:rRNA from 1 species